rnacentral:rRNA from 1 species
GGCAUUAUGUGCUUGCACAUUUUGGACGUCGACCGGCGCACGGGUGAGUAUCGCGUAUCCAACCUGCCCUUUACUUGGGGAUACCCCGUUGAAAGACGGCCUAAUACCCGAUAUUGUUCAUUGAUGGCAUCAGAUAUGAAUAAAAGAUUUAUCGGUAAAGGAUGGGGAUGCGUCUGAUUAGCUUGUUGGUGAGGUAACGGCUCACCAAGGCAACGAUCAGUAGGGGUUCUGAGAGGAAGGUCCCCCACAUUGGAACUGAGACACGGUCCAAACUCCUACGGGAGGCAGCAGUGAGGAAUAUUGGUCAAUGGGCGCAAGCCUGAACCAGCCAAGUAGCGUGCAGGAAGACGGCCCUAUGGGUUGUAAACUGCUUUUAUACGAGAAUAAUUUGAUGCACGUGUGCGUUAUUGCAUGUAUCGUAUGAAUAAGGACCGGCUAAUUCCGUGCCAGCAGCCGCGGUAAUACGGAAGGUCCAGGCGUUAUCCGGAUUUAUUGGGUUUAAAGGGAGUGUAGGCGGUUUGUUAAGCGUGUUGUGAAAUUUAGAUGCUCAACAUUUAACUUGCAGCGCGAACUGGCGAACUUGAGUGCACACAACGUAUGCGGAAUUCAUGGUGUAGCGGUGAAAUGCUU